rnacentral:misc_RNA from 1 species
ACUUGGGAAAGCAAAACAAGCACCUGCGCAUAGGCGCACCCCAUCCCUGUACACCACAGGCCCCCCCCCCCCCCCCCCCCCCCCGCGUAGACGCGCUGGGAGAGAGAGAGACGCGGAUCUGUAUUGCUGCACUGGGUGCUGCUGCCGUUAUUCUUCGUGCCAGACGGGAGCUCUGUAUCCGUAGCCAUCCCCGGGGACGGUGCGCGAGGGCCCUCCUCCCUCCCGCUCUCUUCUGCAUUCUCAUUCGUCGCGCUGUGUUUUUUUACGGCUUUUCGCUUUCUUGUUGUUCCUCCCCCCUCUCCCCUGCCGUGUCCCCGUGUGUGGCUUUAGAAUCAGCGUAGUAGGGAUCUUCUUUAUUGCUUACUUCUGUCCAUCUCUCCUCCCCCCUUUAGUGUAGGUACGCCCCUCCCUCCCUCUCUCGUGUGUGCUUGUCGCGCUUUAUCAUCAUCUUCCCUCCUCCUGUUGUUUUUUUUUUUCCUGUAGCACUGUUGUGUUUCACGUCUCCGCCAUCUCCGCCCUUUCGGCCCCAAUACGGUGCUCAGGCAGGUGCGCACGCCUCUGUCGAUGCGUGUGUUUUCCUUCGCCUCGUCGCACUUCCUGUCGGUCUGCCCGCCCUCCCCCUCCCCCUCCCCCAUCUCCUUCUCUCUUCAGCUGCCUCGGUUUCUUUAGGGACGACUAGUACCACCGCUGCCACUAGUAAUAUUGCUGGCACUCCUUCGUUCAUUCUCUUUUCCCUGUGGACGCGGCUGGCUUUUUCGCUUCAGCGUGCACGCUGUGUGUUUUACUGGUUUUACGACCACGGGUGGCUGCUGCAUCUCUUCUCGUCCCCGAACGCUUCUUGGUUGCCCUUGCUUCUCUCUAUCUGUGUGCGCGCGCUUCCUCGGAGUGGGGCUCCGCUCCGUACUCCCGUUUUUUGGCGUAUCCGAGCCGCACUCGUAGGCUGUCCGCCGUUCGCGUCUACGUCACGCAGCUCGAAAGGAGAGGGAGAGUCAACGCUUUUGCGUCGGCCCACGCGCGAGUGCGGGGACAUCGACCUCCGGACUCGGACUCCGCUAUACCCUAUGGGUAGCGCGCACAUAGACCGCGCUUAUCGACAGUUUGGGAGGGGGACGUUAGACACAGGCACACCUCUGCGUCAAGGCAAUAAGUAAGUAGAAGUAUCGGGCUAGACCGACGGACCACCCACCAGAGAAGUUGGAAGGCACCGAUCCAAUCCAUCGAUUCUGUGCGCCAACAACACGCUCGUGUGUGUGUGUGUCUCUCUUUGUUGCCGCCUACGGGUAGUCGUAUUAGCGAACAAGCUAGGUUACACGCAUCUCUCUUGCUUCCCCUCCUUUUGUUUCAG